AUGGGUGGUGAAGGUGCCCUGCAGCUAUUGGGCAUGUUGCCUAAGAGUGCAGUAAUUAAUGUGCCAAAUGAUAUGGAAUCGGAUUGCUUGAAGGCUUUUUUUUUGGAAAUGAAGGUAAAACCCCCGGCCUCUGCAUCAUGAUGAUGCAUGCAUCAUGAGCGCGCUCGCUUCUGGGCCGCCUACGUCGACGACAAGCUGUUCCCGGCGUGGCUAGCCAUCCUGCGCGCGGCCACGGAGGAGGAGAGAGCGCAAAAGCUCGCCGCUACGCUCCCGGUGCUCGCGCCCAUGGAGGAGGCCUUCUCCGCCUGCUCGGCCUUCUCCUCCGGCAGCGACUCCAUCGGGUACUUCGACCUCGCGCUCGGGUGCCAGCUCUUCUGGCUCGACGCGCUGAGGGAGAUGUUCGGCGUGAUGGUCAUCGACGAGGGCAGGACCCCGCGCUUCGCCGCGUGGACCGAGAGGUUCCUGGAGACGGAGGCGGCCAAGAUGGUGAAGCCGCCCAUGAGCAGUAUGCUGGAGUACGCCGGGCAGCUGCGGGCUCGCUGGGCUGCUGAUGAUACCGCGGCCGCCAAGUAG
rnacentral:rRNA from 1 species